rnacentral:tRNA from 1 species
GGCGGCGCUGGGACGGCUGCGCGCCCGGGUCCGCUGACGGCGGGCCCCGGCGCCCGCCGGGGCCUCCCGUUCAUCCGGUACGGCGCCC